ACUUGUGACCAUACCACCCUGAAAACACCUGAUCUUGUCUGAUCUUGGUAGCUAAGCAGGGUCAGGCUUGGUUAGUACUUAGAUGGGAGACCGCCUGGGAAUACCAGGUAGUGUAAGCU
ensembl:rRNA 5S_rRNA 5S ribosomal RNA